rnacentral:lncRNA from 10 species
GGAGCGGGCCUUCCUGGUGGCCCGCGAGGAGCUGGCGAGCGCCCUGAGGAGGGAUUCCGGGCAGGCGUUUUCCCUGGAGCAGCUCCGGCCGCUACUAGCCAGCUCUCUGCCGCUAGCCGCCCGCUACCUGCAGCUGGACGCCGCACGCCUUGUCCGCUGCAACGCUCAUGGGGAGCCCCGAAACUACCUCAACACCCUGUCCACGGCUCUGAACAUCCUGGAGAAAUACGGCCGCAACCUUCUCAGCCCUCAGCGGCCUCGGUACUGGCGUGGUGUCAAGUUUAAUAACCCUGUCUUUCGCAGCACGGUGGAUGCUGUGCAGGGGGGCCGAGAUGUGCUGCGAUUAUAUGGCUACACAGAGGAGCAACCAGAUGGGUUGAGCUUCCCCGAAGGGCAGGAGGAGCCAGAUGAGCACCAGGUUGCUACAGUCACACUGGAAGUACUGCUGCUUCGGACAGAGCUCAGCCUGCUAUUGCAGAAUACUCAUCCAAGACAGCAGGCACUGGAGCAGCUGUUGGAAGACAAGGUUGAAGAUGAUAUGCUGCAGCUUUCAGAAUUUGACCCCCUAUUGAGAGAGAUUGCUCCUGGCCCCCUCACCACACCCUCUGUCCCAGGUAUUAUUGGUCCUAAAUUGGGGACCAGGUAGGAAGCUAUAUUGAUGGAAAUUUGGGAUGCUCCUCUGUCUUCUUGGUUAUCUUCCUUUGUGUUUGUUUGUUUUGAGACGGAGUUUUGCUCUUGUUGCCCAGGCUGGAGUGCAAUGGUGCGAUCUCCGCUCACCGCAACCUCCACCUCCCGGGUUCAAGCGAUUCUCCUGCCUCAGCCUCCCGAGUAGCUGGGAUUACAGGCAUGCGCCACCGCGCUCGGCUAAUUUUGUAUUUUUGGUAGAGA